AGGGUUGAACAUGAACAUGGUGGUUCCAUUUCCCCCUUUUUCUAUUUCCAUCUUCCUCUCCCAGACUUCCCCUCCUUCUCGAGCCGCCGAUAUCACCGGUCCACCAGACCUGCGACCGCAACCAUUCGCUUCUUACCUUCACCAUUACACCGUAGUUCUUAACGGAAACUGAUAUGGCAAUGCACUGCAUCAAGUCUUUGAGAAAUGUUGGUGUCGCUAACAUGGGGUUAGGAUUAGGAUUAGGAUUAGGAAGCUGUAGAACAUUUGCUGUUGGAGGUAAAGCGAAAAAGGGUAAAAGUGGAGGGGCUUCUGAUGCUCCAAAGCAGUCGAGUUUAAGCAAAGAAGUGAAAUCUACAACAGUUGUAGGGGCAAAUAUCCUCAAGGAGGGGACUGACCCUAAAAUACUUGCAGAUUCUGAGUAUCCAGAGUGGCUGUGGCACCUUCUGGACAAAAAACCUGCACUCAGUGAGCUUAGAAGGAAAAAUAUUGAAACUCUUCCAUAUGAAGACCUCAAACGCUUUGUGAAGCUUGAUAACAGAUCAAGAAUCAAAGAAAACAACACCACCAGGGCCAAAAACUAAAACUCAUUUCAAUGUAUACCCUACCCUUCCUGUCCUUCCAGGCUUAGGUUUCUUCUUUGGGUGUUAUCCAUAUGAUAUGAUUAUUGCAUAUCAUAAUAUAAACUUGGCACUUGUUUCUUUUUUAGCCUGUCCUGUCUUUUGUCUGUUGUUCAUCUGAAUGUUUUUACCCAAUCAGGCUAAUUCAUAUCAGUCAAAGGCGUGGAAAAAAGAAAAAUGAUAGCGCGACUUCAAAUUGAUGAAUCUGGGAACAAUCUCACCUUAAUCAUAAUGAAGUGCAAACCCGCCUUGAGUUGCGUUUUUGGGACUGUUUUACCUUUUUUUAAAUGGUAUAAUUUUAAAAAAUAAAAAUAAAAAAAAUAAGUUCAUGGAUCAUGACACUUGUAUGUUUUGUUACCUGAAAAUUGCUUUAAUUCUUCUUUUAAUAUGUAACAGAGGUUUGAACACUUAUAUGUAAAAUUUGAUGUUGAUGUAAUGACUAGUUCUGUUAUCUUGUUAA